CUUUCAUGGCGUUUGCUCUGGGGGACCUUCCUCCCCAAGUCUUUCUUUCCUCUCAUCCCUAGGAAUCCAGUUGAGUUCCUUUUAACUCUAUGGAGAGCAGGAGCCCACAGAGAGAGGCUUUCUUCUGGGGAGGGUGGGACCUCCUUGGCAGGCAGAGGAGCAGCUUGUAGGGGUUAAAGGCUGUGUCAGAAGCAAGGGGAAGGGGGUUCAAUGGCAUGCCACUUGUUCCCUCCCCAAAGGGGCAAAGGAAGGAGGGGGGAGGAUGCUCCCUGCCUUGGGUAUCCUCCCCCUGCAGCCCUGGGACCCCCCUUCUCCCCCCGGGCGCCCCAAGGGGAAAGAGAGAGGAGACUCACUGGAUCCCAGGAGGGGCCACCGAGGCAGCCUUGGCAGAGGACGGAGGAGGAGGGGCUUCCGCUCUGGAGGACCUGAGACCCCCGCCCCCACUUCCUGGCCUCUCUAGGAUUCCAGCUCGGCUCCUGUUAACCCUUGGCAAGCCGAGCGCACAGAGGGCAGAGGAGGCUCUGAGCAGCUGCGCAUGCUCCCUGCCGGCGACCCGGACGCCUCAGAGCACGAAACGGGGAAAGGGAGAGGCGGAGGGAGGGCGGGGCAAGGACCAGUGACGAAACAGCCCUGGCCCCGCCCCUCCGCCGGGAAGGCGGCGGUGGCUGCUCUGAGGGAAACGGCUUUUCCCGCCUUCCCGCCCCUGACCUUCCCCUCAGUUUUAGGCGCCAAGGAGGCCGAUUCCUGGCAGACCAGGUGGCAGUUUCCCUGGGCUCCCUCGUUUAUCGGGGGAUUUCUUUUCAUUCUGCGUGAUUUCUGUUCAUAUCUCUUGCUUUUGGAGCUUCUAUCUGCUUCUUUAGAAAGGCAUUUUCCUUUAUUAAAAAAGUCCCUUUCACCAAGUUUUGCCUGCAUGCCAUUAAGUAUUUAAAUCCAUUUAUUCAAAUGGAUUUCGAAAUAGUCCUUUAUAGUGCCAUCCCUCCCCCCCACUCCUCCUCCGCUGCUACUGAGGAGAAAUGAAGAGGCUCAUCUGCCUCAGGCGUUGCACUUGUGUCUGUCUGUCUGUGUGUGAGAGAGAAAACGGGUGCAAGAAGGGCCCAAGGAUCCUGUAGUGGCCCCAGCAGAAGCCAUCCACCAUGGCCUUGAAGCCUUGCAGGUAGUCCUUGUCCCACUUUUGGAUGUGGGGCUCCUCCUCCGGGAACAUGGCCACAAUCUUCCCUCGGUCGUCAGCAAAAUAGAAGAGCUCCUGCCAGUCAAAGAAGUACCUGUACAGGUAGCGAACCCACUGCAUGCUGUUGGGAGAAGUGGCAACCCUGCUUCAUCUGGUAUAGGGUGUGUUGGGGGGGCAGGAGGGGCGUAAAGGGAGGUCAGGUGUGGGAGGGGAGCGGGAACAGGCAGAUACCCUUGCUCCCUCCUGCCAUCGUGGCAGCACCCCAUCUGCCCCCCACUCCAGCUAAGGAUCAAGUCACAUCAUGCAGGGUUGCCACCUGCCCUGUAUAAUACGUUGGAUGGAUCAGAGUCAUUUAUUCCUAGAAACAACAUUGUGUGAAGUUUCCAGAAGAUGGGUUAUUAUAAUGGGUUAUUAUAACAGGUACAAGGAAAAUAGAGAAAAAAGUGAAAUAUUUAGGAGUGUGAUGUUGUUGUUGUUUAGUCAUUUAGUUGUGUCCGACUCUUCGUGACCCCAUGGACCAGAGCACGCCAGGCACUCGUAUCUUCCACUGCCUCCCACAGUUUGGUCAAACUCAUGCUGGUAGCUCAGAAGAACAGUGUCUAAUCACCUCGUCCUCCAUCGUCCCCUUCUCCUUGUGCCCUCCAAUUUUCCCAACAUCAGGGUCUUUUCAGCAAAUAAUCCUAAUAACUAAAAUGAUAAUGAUGCGAAGAUUUGGAAAGAAAUAUAAAAAGAAAUAGAAAUAGUGAUAAGAAUGAAACUAUUGUGGAUGGUGAGAAUCUUGGCAAUAAAAAUGAAUGUAAUAAUAAAUAAUUUUGAGACCUGGACUUUUAUAUCUCACACUCAUUUGUCCCCCAUGUUGAUUUCCCUUACUUGUCUUUGCUUCUAUUGGGAAAAACAACCUUGGUGUUUUGUUUUCAGGCUCACCCAGAUUCAAUGAAGCACUGCCAUAUAUCCUUACAAUGACUGCAAAAUUCCCUCCCUUGUCUCCCCAUUGUUUGGGGGUGUGCAAGAUUUACAGCCUAUCAUGACCACCUAAUUAAAAUAGUAAAUUCUCCACCACUGUUGACAUUUCCCAUUCCCAUGAAUUCAUCGACCUUCUCUCCUACAGUGUAACCUUGGUUUCCAAACUCAUUCCAUUCCGUGAGUCUGUUAGAUUCCUGAAACAGUUCAGGAACCAAGGCGCGGCUUCUGAUUGGUUACAGAAGCUUCCUGCAGCCAAUCAGAAGAUGCGGAAGCCACGCCGCGCAUUCAUGGCUUCUGAUUGGAAGCUCCUGCAGCCAAGCAGAAGCCAUGGAAGCAGCACCAAGCAUUUUCUUCCAGAAACUGUUCAAAAACCGGAACAAUUACUUCCGGUUUUCAUUCAUUUGGGAGCUGAAGCGUUCGGCAUACAGGAGCUGAGGUUCCACCGUAUUUGUGAAUUCCCUUUUUGGGUCUUACCUCUUCAACCCUUGACAUACUAGUUUUAGCAAGAAAGCCACAUCCUGGCCACUUUCAAGACAUUAGCUCCCUAGUUCUGUUCUUCUUGCUAACAUCUUAACCACAAUUUGUUCUAAAGAUACAACUUCCCUGUAGGUAGCCUAGCCACAAGCUAUAUUAAAAAUAUGCUAACUGUUGCAACCUACGCCCUAGCUGUUGCAACCUUAUGACCUUUAUGAAAAAGCAAUAAAAGCAUCAUUUAUUCUGGAAAAGCAAUCUGAAAAGCUCCAAUUAUCAUUCCUUACAUGGGAUACCUACAAUGAUCUGCUAAGACAUUUGAGGGAGAAACAAAAAUGUAAAAAUUAAGAAAUUUUUGUAUUGGACUGGCCAAGCUAUCAUCAGAUUUGUUUAAUAAUAAUUUUUAUUAGUUAUCAGUUACACUGUCGCUUAAUCACCCUUUAAAUAGGAGAAGAUAAAUAAUUGUACUCUAUAGAACAAAAAGCCUGUCCUGUUUGUUUUUAGGUUUCGGUACCAACAAAUCCUGCCUAGUUCUUUUAGCCCUUUCAAAGGCUGUUUGAAUUAACUCCUGCGGAUAGCCUCUAUCUCUUAAUGAAGAGGAAUGACUAUUGGAAGAACGCUAUCUCGCAACUGCUCCUACGUUUAUGGUUUUGUGCUUCCAGUGAAUGACUAUCUGCAGAACGAUUUGUUUGCUCCAGCUGUGUAACGUAAUACUUACCGCAUACACAACCGAUAUAGUAAAGAGAGACAUUAGUUCAUUCUAUGUUUAUGAGUAUCUCCAGGCUUGGUUAUGCACAUUGCACUUUAGUUUGCUUUUUGUUUAGUAGGUUUAUGAGUUUAUAUACCUAUUCUAGUAAAAUUGUCCUUUAUAUUUGUAUUCAUAAGACAGCUUUGGUGUUGUUGGUUUGUUGUAUAAUUGAUGAUUUUCUUUACUUCGGCAUUCCAAAAUCUUAUAAAUUUCAAUUACAUUACAGUCAUAAUAAUAAUCCCUUAUACAACAACUGUAAUAUUAAUAACUUCUGUUUGUGUUGACACAUUAAAUGAUUUAUAAGACUACAAAUGAAGGAUUCAAACUACCUCCUUGUUCUGGCAAUUAUCCAGUGUGGGGUGCCACAGGGUUGUGUCUUGGGCCUGGUCUUAUUCAACAUCUUUAUCAACGACUUGGAUGAUGGACUCAAGGGCAUCCUGAUCAAAUUUGCAGAUGACACCAAACUGGGAGGGGUGGCUAACACCCCAGAGGACAGGAUCACACUUCAAAACGACCUUGAUAGAUUAGAGAACUGGGCCAAAACAAACAAGAUGAAUUUUAACAGGGAGAAAUGUAAAGUAUUGCACUUGGGCAAAAAAAUGAGA
rnacentral:lncRNA from 1 species